rnacentral:rRNA from 1 species
AGCUCGUAGCGGUUCUGACGUGCAAUCGAUCGUCAAUUUGGGUAUAGGGGCGAAAGACUAAUCGAACCAUCUAGUAGCUGGUUCCCUCCGAAGUUUCCCUCAGGAUAGCUGGAGCCCGAACUAUGUGUGUAGUUUUAUCAGGUAAAGCGAAUGAUUAGAGGUAUUGGGGUUGAAAUGACCUCAACCUAUUCUCAAACUUUAAAUGGGUAAGAGGUGUAGCUUGCUUAAGUGAAGUUACACGAUUGAUUUCUCGUGGAAUACAGGGGCUCUUAGUGGGCCAUUUUUGGUAAGCAGAACUGGCGAUGCGGGAUGAACCGAACGCUGGGUUAAGGUGCCCAAGUCAACGCUCAUGAGAUCCCAUGAAAGGUGUUGGUUGAUACAGACAGCAGGACGGUGGCCAUGGAAGUCGGAAUCCGCUAAGGAGUGUGUAACAACUCACCUGCCGAAUCAACUAGCCCUGAAAAUGGAUGGCGCUCAAGCGUUGCACCUAUCCCCGGCCGCCGUGUGGAGAUGGCCAGUGCUGGUGACACGGCGUGUAGGAGGGCGCAGGGCUGUGUGUUGGUAUGCUGUGCAGGCUGGUGCGUGAGCCCGGCUGAAGCUGGCCCUGGUGCAGAUCUUGGUGGUAGUAGCAAUUAUUCAAAUGAGAACUUUGAAGGCCGAAGUGGAGAAGGGUUCCACGUGAACAGCAUUUGGACGUGGGUGAGUCGGUCCUAAGAGAUGGGCGAAAGCCUGGUUAGUAAGGGUGCAGAUGUGCUGCCUCUCAGGGGGUAGUAUGUCCGGUUGGUUCUUCGGGGCCACGGUGGCACCAGCUCUCGAAAGGGUAUCGGGUUAAUAUUCCCGAACCAGACACCUGGAUGCUGCUCGUGGUGGAGCACGGCAACGUAUAUGUGUGUAUACUCGGCGACGCUUGCGAUAGCCCUGGGAAGAGUUGUCUUUUCUUCUUAACCGUACCAACCGUGUGCACAGCCCUGGAAGCAGUUUACCUUGAGAGAGGGCUGGAGGUCGGGUAAAGCGCUGCACUUAUUGCAGCGUCCAGUGCGCUGUCGAGAGCCCCUGAAAAGCUGAGUCAGGACUGGACCAUGUUAGUCUCGUGUCUGGCCGU